rnacentral:lncRNA from 12 species
CUACAAUUAUACCUUCAAUGACUGACAAGGUACUGAAACCCUAUUUUUCCCUUUGCUGUAGGUAAUCUUCAACGGGGAUCAGGGAGAAAAUAUUUCCAACCUGUGUCAGGAAUGUGCUGGGACCAAAUAUUUCACUUCGUGUUUAGAACAGGUUUAUCAAAUUUCAGCAGUUCUCCAUAGCCCAGUGAAAUCGCCACAGAUCCAUUGUAUUCAGCUGAGUCUUGCUACUCUGUGUUCCUGUUUUGAGCUAUGGCACCUGCAUUCGAAAACCAGUCUCAGAUUCACACAUCAGAUUUUCAUCCGGAAGGUAUCAGUGAUGGCUUCUUUUUCUAGCAGAGACGAAAUUCAAGUUUCUUCUCACCUCAGGAUGAAUGUACUACUAUGCAUCUAA